rnacentral:rRNA from 1 species
AACAAACGCUGGCGGCGUGCCUAAUACAUGCAAGUCGAACGGGGAAAGCUUUCGGGUGAGUACUAGUGGCGCACGGGUGAGUAACGCGUGGAUAAUCUGCCUUAGAGUGGGGGAUAACUAGUCGAAAGAUUAGCUAAUACCGCAUAAGUCCACAAGAACUGCGGUUCAAGGGGUCAAAGGUUUUUCGCUCUAAGAUGAGUCCGCGUAAGAUUAGCUAGUUGGUAGGGUAACGGCCUACCAAGGCGACGAUCUUUAACUGGUCUGAGAGGAUGAUCAGCCACACUGGAACUGAGACACGGUCCAGACUCCUACGGGAGGCAGCAGUAGGGAAUAUUGCACAAUGGAGGAAACUCUGAUGCAGCGACGCCGCGUGAGUGAUGAAGGCCUUCGGGUCGUAAAGCUCUGUCGCAGGGGAAUAACACAAUGAAGGUACCCUGUAAGAAAGGAUCGGCUAACUUCGUGCCAGCCGCCGCAGUAAGAC